rnacentral:rRNA from 1 species
CGGUCCUUGCGGCCGUCCGAGUUGUAAUCUAGAGAAGCGUUUUCCGCGCUGGACCGUGUACAAGUCUCCUGGAAGGAAGCGUCGUAGAGGGUGAAAAUCCGUCUUUGACACGGACUACCAGGGCUAUGUGAUGCGCUCUCGACGAGUCGAGUUGUUUGGGAAUGCAGCUCAAAUCGGGUGGUAAAUUCCAUCUAAAGCUAAAUACAGGCGAGAGACCGAUAGCGAACAAGUACCGUGAGGGAAAGAUGAAAAGAACUUUGGAAAGAGAGUUAAACAGUACGUGAAAUUGCUGAAAGGGAAACGCUUGAUGUCAGUCGCGUCGGCCGGGGAUCAACCUUGCUUGAUUGCUCGGUGUACUUCCUGGUCGACGGGUCAGCAUCAGUUUCGAUCGCCGUACAAGGGCGGAGGGAAUGUGGCACUCUUCGCGGAGUGUGUUAUAGCCUUUCGUCGUAUGCGGUGCUUGGGACUGAGGAACUCAGCACGACCUCUCGGGGUUCGGGGCUUCGGCCUACGUUCACGUGCUUAGGAUGCUGGCAUAAUGGCCUUAAGCGACCCGUCUU